rnacentral:rRNA from 1 species
GACGAACGCUGGCGGCGUGCUUAACACAUGCAAGUCGAACGGAAAGGCCCUGCUUUUGUGGGGUGCUCGAGUGGCGAACGGGUGAGUAACACGUGAGUAACCUGCCCUUGACUUUGGGAUAACUUCAGGAAACUGGGGCUAAUACCGGAUAGGAGCUCCUGCUGCAUGGUGGGGGUUGGAAAGUUUCGGCGGUUGGGGAUGGACUCGCGGCUUAUCAGCUUGUUGGUGGGGUAGUGGCUUACCAAGGCUUUGACGGGUAGCCGGCCUGAGAGGGUUACCGGCCACAUUGGGACUGAGAUACGGCCCAGACUCCUACGGGAGGCAGCAGUGGGGAAUAUUGCACAAUGGGCGGAAGCCUGAUGCAGCAACGCCGCGUGCGGGAUGACGGCCUUCGGGUUGUAAACCGCUUUCGCCUGUGACGAAGCGUGAGUGACGGUAAUGGGUAAAGAAGCACCGGCUAACUACGUG